AUACUUAUCUGGGGUAGGGUUACCGUGAUUCUGCAGGCGGUUCCCCCAGGGUGAGGCUGCUCCAUUGCACUGCGGAGUAGUUGACCUUUGCGAUUAUUAAAGUUAUACUUCUUUAGGCGCGUUAUGA
rnacentral:snRNA from 9 species